UCGCCGCCUGUUAGGGUCCGGGUCCCGCGCCGGCGCACGUCCGCAGAGGUCCCCCAGUUCCUCCCAUUAUUGUUGUCGUCUUCACUCAAGCCCUGGUUACCCCGUGGGGUUGGUCGGAGUCUGCAAAGCCCUUCCCCAGAGAACACGCACUGCCUUAGCCUAAGCUCGCUGCUGGCUGGGCUACGGUAACGAAAAACUGGCAGUGGGAUCCGGGGUCCUGGUUGUCCCCGGUGGCCUCUGGGAAAUGUAGUCCAAGCUAAAUUGGCCUGGCCUCAGUGGCCUUUGGGAAAUGUAGUCCAGAGGCGUAAAACGGCCGCGCAAGGACUGCCCACCUGGCGCCCUGGGGACUGGGAGUGCGCAGGCGCAGGAGCGCGCUGGCCGCAGAACCAGGAGCUGGGAGAUGACAAAAAAACCUGUAGUAGUCUUUUUUCAGAGAUCCAGCCACUGGAGGGAGGAGCCUGUUGUGUAUAAGAUACUGUGCUCAUCUGAAGCUGAAGGUAAACUCACAGGUGCUGAGGGGAACGGGAAUGUCCUCUGUGCUGUUACUCUCACCCGCGGAACUUCACAGACCUGCGUAAUGCCAGCACCCAGGACAUCUGGGGAACGUGUAAACAUGCCUCAUGAUCUCCCAGCUGACUUCCUGGUGCACCUCAGGUCCCUCCUGCGUUGGCUGUAUCUUCAGUUUGGCACCGGUGAUGGUUCCUGCACGGAUCUGUCCUCACUGAAUUGGAGAAUAAAUGACACCGUGACAUAAAGUGACGCAGGGAGAGGCAGCUUCGGUCCUUUUCCUGUCGAGGAAAACAUCUCUGCACAAACUAAUAGAGAUGAAGGCAUCAGCAAGAUUGGGUCACCUGGGCCGUGCUCCUUUACAGCACUUUGCAGAGAGUGACGGGGAAAUUCGAAGGGGAAAUGAAGAUGCUCAGCCUGAUCAGGCCACGGUAAGCAGCCGGGUCCCCAUGUUGUUGUACCCGGAUGUCCGGCAGUGGUGGUGCCAAUUAUACUGCUCAGUGCUUGGCAGCUAGCAUUCCCCUCUCUUCCCCGCCCCCUCCUGCCCUUCCUGCCUCCCUCCCACUUCUCUCUCUCUCUCCCUCUCUCUCCCUCCCUCCUCUCCUCUUUCACCUACACAUUCUUCCCGUUUUCCACACUCUCCCACUCUGCUUCGUAGGGCAGGCAUGAGCUGUCCUCAGAAAGAACCCUCAGUAUCUUGGGAAGCCUCUGUCUUAGGUGAGGCUUCUAGAUGGUCUCCAGAUAAAGGGAGGCCCCUGUCCUCCCAAAAGGAGGUGGCGACCACAUCUAUUAGCCCAGUAGCAUCGAGUGCAAAUAUUUUCUUUUCUUUUUUUAGAAUUAUUUAUUUAUUUGAAAGUCAGAGUUACAUAGAGAAGGAGAGGGAGAGAGAGAGAGAGAGAGAGAGAGAGAGAGAGGUCUUCCAUCCACUGGUUCACUUCCCAGUUGGCCACAAUGGCCGGAGCUGUGCUGAUCUGAAGGCAGGAGCCAGGAUCUUCUUCCAGGUCUCCCACAUGUGUGCAGGGGCCCAAGGACUUGGGCCAUCUUCUACUGCUUUCCCAGGCCAUAGCAGAGAGCUGGAUCAGAAGUGGAGCAGCCAGGACUCGAACCAGCGGCCAUAUGGGAUGCCGGCACUGCAGGUUGGCAGCUUUACCCGCUACGUCACAGCGCCAGCCCCUCAAGUAUUUUCAAAUGCAUCCACUGAAAUACAUCCCAGAUCUCAAGGUGCAACUCGUUCCGUAUCAGGUGCUGACUUCAGUGUGACAGACCUUCCAGGGCCGUGAAUUGAAUGCAGAAUAGGAGUGCAGAAGCUCUACUGCAUUAUAACUGCACCUCGUCAGUAGUUUUCAGCGAAGCCUGCUCUCUUGCUGCAGGGUGAGAAUACCUUAAACAAGGGAGCUUUCUGGCUUUGCUAACAUUCUCAGAGUUCAUUUAUUUUAAAGUCUGACCAUUUGUUUUCUUUAGGUAUUCUAUGGAGGUUACAGAAAACUAACCAAUUAUACAGUCCUUAAAGUUGCCAUUUCUCAUGUAUUUUUCAAGUUCAAGAGCCUUUGUUGACACCGGCAUUACCCCCAUACAUAUGUAGCUCGUCUCAUUCACCACAGGCGAGAGUUCCAGUAACUGUGAUCCUGCAGCAUAUUGGGGGAAACCAACCCUGGACUGCAGCCAGCAAGUGGGCCCUUGUCCUCUGAUGGAUUGAUGAGUGGUCUAAUUCUAUUUGUUUUUUAAAUACUUAUUUAUUUGAAAGGCAGAGUUAGAGAAACAGAGAGAGAGAGAGAGAGAGAGAGAAUCUUCCAUCUACUGAUUCACUCCCCAAAUGGCCCAGUGGCCAAGGCUGGGUCUGGCUGAAGCCAGGAGCCUAGAACUCCAUAUGGGUCUCUAAUGUGAGUGCUGGGGCCCAAGCACUUGGGCCAUCUGUGGUAUGGGAGACAGGGGUGGUGGGAGCACCAGUAAAGACCUCUUCACCUGGGCCCUGGGGAGAACACAGGCCCCACUUCUGGUGACCUUUAAUGAAGCCAGGCCUGAGGACCCUGAGCCCUGCCACAGCAGAGCCACUAGGGAUUGGCUGGCAGGCUUCUGUGAUGUCACAGUCACUGAGAUGCGCACUCUGGGCUGGGAGGCGACCAGAGGCCAGUAGUGCGUCUACUGCCCAACUGACCAGUUGGUAGUGUAGGCAGCAGGCGCAUUUCAGAGAAUCACAUGGAUUCGCGAUGGAGAUUGGAUAUGAAUGCCCUGAGGUCCCGGAGGGCCCAGGAGCGAGCAGCGCUCUUCAGACAAUAUGAGCAGGUACCGGCCAGGGUGCUGGGGGAGGAGGUGGGGCCCUGCCUCAAGGACUGUGCCUGUGAGAGCCAGACCCAGCCUCCCUGGGGACACGGG